AAAUUUGGUUCUCUGCUUGUCAAUCUCUCCAUAGCGUGGCCUGAGACCUUGGCAGUGGCCAUGCGGCCCCCGACGAUGCCAUUACGCUCAAAGAAUCAGAUAAAGAGGGGAUUGACCAUAGAGAAUAAUGAAUAAAAAUGGAAUCAAAUACUUCAUUUCGUAUAUGGAGCACGAGAUGGGUGGAGAGGCAGACGAUGAGCCUCCAAACUCGGCUCGAGAGCUUGAACCCAUUUCCAUUUGUACCCUCUACAGCCCAUCUAUUGCAACUUCGAGCCCCAUAAAGAAAAUGUUUCUAACUAUUAUAUGGGUGUCGCUGCGGCUAAAGGAUGAGAGAGAGAGAGAGAGAGAGAGAGAGAGAGAGAUUUGUUCAGAGAAUAAAUUGGAUUGAACUGAGAGAGUGAAGGAUGAUAGGAUAGCAGAUGUGUUUAUAAAUGGUGGUCGUAAAAAGGUUAAGAUGUAAGGGGCACAUCACUUUAAUUAGAAUUAUAUUCAAAGUGAAAUGUCCAAUAAAGCCCCAGGCUGCUUUGUUGAUUUGUGUGUUCCAUGUGACUACUCUUUGUAUAAUGGCAUCGGGCUAAAAGUGUACAACACUAUUUAUCUCAAAAGUAAUUUUUUUUUA